CAAGGAACAGAGGGAGAGCUUGUUCCAGCAGACGGGCCCCAUCCGCUCCUCCCGUCCGAGGGCUGGGAAGAAGGGAUGGAGGCGAAGGGAACUCUCCCACCCCUCCGGGGCCCCGCGGGCGCGCUGCUUCCCAGAAAAUACGGUAAAAAGCCUUCAGCCUAAAAAUAACUGCAGCCCGUGGCUGCCCAAGGCUGAGGAACCAGCCCCUCGGGGCUCACUUAGAGAUGUCAACGUGUGGCCAUUGGCCGGUCUCUCUGAUGGGCAGAAGUCAUCUGGCGAGGUGCUGAUCCUCCUAUAGUGUUUGCAAGAUCUUUAAGAAGAAUUGCAUGGCCGAUGUCGUUGCGUUUGAGUUGUGCUAGAAUACCCUGACCAUCAGAGGACUUGGAUUUUAUGACAGAAGAGAUCAGCACUGCAAAGACAUGGCGAUGUUGUUCACAUUGCCUGGACCUGAGCCCAGGGUCCGGGACCAGACCUGUCUCAUACCCACACCUUAGAAGACAGCGCCGUGUUCGUGUUUUCUUUUUGCAGGCUGAAAGCUUUCCUGGACCUGCUGAACACUUCUGCUGUAAUCUGUCGUGGCUGUCAGGGUGCCAAGAGACAUGCCAGACCCUGGGCCACAAUAGUGGAACAGACAUGCCCAGAGCUGAAAGCUGGCACAAGGUAGUGUAUAAAGUGAGAUAUGUGAAGCCACGGGCAAAUAGUUUGGUAAUCACGUGGGUCAGUUAGGCUUGGCACAGGGCAGAGCCUGUCUGCUCAUCAAGGAAGGCAGAGACAAAACUUCGUCAUAGAAUCAUAGAAUAUUUGAAUUAUUGAAUCAUUGAAUGGCUUGGGUUAGAAGGGACCUUACAGCCCACCCAGCUCCAACCCCAGUGCCAUGGGCACAGUUGCCACUCACUGCAUCAGGUUGCCCAGUGCCCCACACAACCUGGUCUUGAGAAGAGUUGGGGGACUUCUUAAUGAGAGCUACGAGGAUUAAACAAAAACAAUUACUCCAGAAGGACUGAGGUAAAGGACACAGUGUUGUCUCAGUGGGGUCGCAAACACAUUUCAAAACAGAUUUUUGCAGAAAGAGAUGUUUCCCAUUCCCCAGAUAUCUUGUUCCCAACAACGAUUCUCGUUUCACAGUAAGGUUCAGGGUUGGAGGAAGGAGCAUGAGCCUUGCUCAGCAUUGGUGCAGGGGAUGCUCCACGUGUCUCCUCACCUAGAAAGCUAAACCUCAAAGAAUAGAAGAGCACAAUUCACUCCUCGCAGAUGGGGAAAUGGUGCAGUGAGUCAGCAAGGCAGACCACAGAUGCUGUCCAAAAGCAUUGCAGCAAUUAGUUGGAGCAAGGUGGAGAUAUAUUCCUCCAAAAUGAAAGUCUCUGUAGGCUGUUACCAGUGCUCACAGCCAUCUAGUCCCUUGCUGAACAUUUCUGACCAAAAUCCUUCCAAGCUGAUCUAUUUUCAGCCCAACCCACUCGAUACCUUGAUUGCUACGCAGCUCUUUUAGCUGCUCUUAGGUAAACAUGUUGUCAUUCCCUGGCAUUUUGCCUCGCUAAGACCAAAAAUAUGAGUGGCACAGAAAAUAAGAAAAGCUGUUCUCCUCCGCCAGGAAAAAUGAUGCUAUUUCUGAAAUAAACUGUUUUUAAUACACCUCACCAGCCAUGUGCAUAUACACACAUGUAUAAAUAUACUUGACCCGGAGGUCCAGUUCCAGUGUUGGCAUCUUGUAUGCCUAUAUGGAGACAGAACAGAGAGGGAAUUAUGUAUGUACAAACCAGGACACACCUUCGGUCCAGUCUACAUCUGAAUGCAGAACGUUGGUUAAGACAAAAUACUGAGGUCUGAUCCCCAUUAAAACAGGUUCACAGGGACUGGUCCAAACUGAGACCAGAGAGUUAUGGGCUGUCAUGAGGAGCAGCUUCUACCAUAGCGACCCAUGUGCCCCAUACCUAAAACCAGCAUCCCCAGGGUUGAACCAGAGCAGGCUGGAGCAGAUCAGUGUCAGAGCUCUAUCCACAGCAGGCCUUGUUUUUGAGGAAUGACAGUGAUGUUGGCCAGACCUCCAAGCCUCUUUUUUUUUCAGAUUUCUCUUUAUCGAGUAAACACAUAGAAGUCAACAACAGAUGGAGCAUCACAUGGAGUUACGCAGACAGGUGUUGACUAGCUGGUGGUGUUCCAAGAAAGGACGGUCCCAUCUGGUCAUGGGGAGAGCUGUGAUGGUGCGAAAAGAAGAGAGUGAUCACCAUGGACAAAGAGCAUCCCACGAACUCAUGUCAGAGAAGAGUUUUUGUCUUGGAGGUGGAGGGCUCAGUCGGUGGGAGAAGUAGGGCUACUUCUACGUGGGGUGUGGAUGGAGAAGUUUGAGAAACGGAAGGAGAACCCAUGGAGACAAUGUGAGACAUCCCCAGAAUGAAUCCAGAUGUGCUGCUCUGUCUGUAACCCAGUGCUGUAAGGAGGACUGAGAUCUGCUGCACUGCAAGCCUGGAUAAAGAUACCCACCAUGGAUCUUCUCCCUGGACUCCUGACCCCAACUGCUCACCUUCCUCCUUCUGCCCUGGGCUAACUUCUCCUCGACUUCUGCUUUGGUUGAAAAGAGGCUGGGGAAGAAAAGUUGUUGGCAGUUUGUGGGGGUCUCCUUUGGCUUUAGAUGGAGCAGAAGAAUGCACUAUCACUUCUGCUAUAGGCUGUGCUUAGCAGUGGAGCAAGGCAUUGCCCUAGCACCAGCAGCGCUCUGAAUUCAUCUCCACACUCCAUGUUUUCCUUCACUAAGUCUAAUGAGGGCUGCAGGCUGCUAGGGAGGCACGCAGCAAUAAAGACUGAAAACAGUACGCAGGACUUCCAGCUGCAAACUGUGUGUGACCCAGGACCUGACUUGACUUGGCUUGUGUGGGGAUCCUCUUCCCAAUAUCUGAUUCACCCUCAUACUGUAUGUAGCAUCAUGGUUUUUGUCAGCAUUCCAUAUCAUAGCAUCAUGUCAUACGUUCUCAGUACUGGGGCUGCUGGGGUUGUAAUUCCUGGUUUCCUUAUGGUGUGAUGUUAUGAUAUGGAAUAUCGAUGGACAGUACCCUGGACGUGCUCCAUAGGCAUAGGGGGACCCAGGGUGAAAGCCCACCCAAGGACCGCAGACAAGGGCACCCAUAAUAACUAGAGGGUAGCUGGAGAAGCAGCACCAUUGGGUGUAUCAGCUGUGUGUAACCUCCAGCAGCAUCAUACAAGAAAUGUUUGGCCUGACCCAAAGCCCACUGGAGAAAAUAAGGAGAAGCAUCACUUCCAGGAACAGCAUGGAUGUGGUGCAAUCAGGGAGAAAGGCAAGAAAAGCUGUGCAAGCAUUUGCCUAACGUUCUUCUGGGAGAUAAUAAUUGCCAAACAGCACUUGUUCCCUCCCUUUAUCCCACUCUGUCCUUCAGGGACAUCUGUUCCAAAGGGAAGAACCUGAUAAUUAUGGAUUGGGUCCUCCGAUGGAGGCUGGAUAUGGCCCCAAGGCAGCCAGCCUCCCUGUGCACAGUGCUCAUGCUGGGAAUGCAGCCUGUGAGUGGUUCAAUUAAAAGGUUUCUCAGCAAUGACACCAGCAGAGGCACAAGAAGCAGACAACCUAUUCACAGACCAAUUAGUUUUAUGAAUAAAUGUGUGCAGGACAGUGAGCCCAUCGGCUGAGCGAGCCAUGCCGGAGUGCUGAGCAGCACUGGGAAAUAUUCUAUUGGGAAGUUUUAAAUGCCAGUCUCCGUGCAUGGAUGGGGCUGCGUGGCUUUCCAUCAGCUCAAGCUUGCCCCUGCUGAUCCUUCAAUUCACGCUGUCUUCUCCCCAUAUAUGCCAUUCUCAUGGGCUUGGUGGGGGCAAACGCUUCGCAUGCAUGUUUUACCCAGCUCCAUCAUGUCAUCCUUCCCUUCGUGGCCAGAAUGGGCCAUGAACUCCCAUUUCUUCCCAUCAGACUGGGUUGCCUUGCAAAGGGCCCAGCCCCUCUCACCCUAUUUGAGGACCUGGGGGUUCACUGGGGCCAGCACCACUGGGCUCCAGCCUCCUGCAGCCCCAACAUAGGCCAGGUGGGUGUCAGAGCAGCUCCAAUCCCAGUAGGCGUUUAGUGUCAUUUAUACCAAGGCUAAUUACAUCUUAACAUUUUCCCUCUGUAUUUUGGUAUUUAUUUUGGAAAAGCUCCUCCCUGGAGUCACUUUCUUCCCCAGCUCUACAACAACAACAAUAACAGCAGUGCACUGCCUUUUCCCUUGGCUCCUUCCCUCAUUAUUAUAGCUCUGCCAUGCUGUUCCAGUACAGUCAGCAGAGGAAUUCAAUCAGGCUGAUGAGUAAAAGUGCAUAAUUUUAUGGCUGCAUAUCAACUGCUUGUUAUUAAACUAAUCAAUCAGCUUCAGUGCAGCUACCGGUAAAGCACGGGAGAGGGCAAAGUGAAAGAAUUGCUAUGCUGUUCUUUUUCCAAAAGGACAAAAAGACAAUUCCAAUCUGGCCAGUCGAAUUCUUCGGCUUGUACUUCUCUGCUGUAAGAAAUGCUUUGCCUGAGUUAUGGAUCGGUUGACCUGCAGCACAGUAAUGAUGGAGCUGGUGCUGCCCUUGUGCUCACCUCCAGCACUAAGCCCUAACAUGGCAACCUGCUGCAGGGAACCAGCUUUAGUAGGAGGUUGGCAUAGAUCAUCUCCAGAGGUCCCAUCCAACCUCUACAAUACUGUGAUUCUGUGAUUUGCCAUGCCCCAAAGCCCAGGAAAGUCACCAGGUACUCCCACCAUAUCUCAUCUUCUCAGGAAGAGUGGUAAUGCAUUGGAACAGGCUUUGGGGAAGUGGUGGAGUCAUCAUUCCUGAAGGUUUUCAAGGAACAUGGAGAUGUGGCACUGAGGGACAUAGUUAGUGGGCAUGAUGGGGAAGGGUUGGGAUUGGACUUGAUGAUUUUAGAGGCCUUCUCCAGCCUUCAUGAUUCUAUGAUUCUGAAGGUCUGUCCUCCAUGCCCACAAGAGCACAGCAAGUAAGGAAUUGCAUCACACAAAGAGAAACCUGGGCUACACAUCAGGUGUAACUUCCUACAGGAGAAGGGUGAGCAGCCAUUGGGACACACUGCCAGGAGGCACUGGAGGUCCUGGAACAAGCACUAUGUGCUUCUUCUAUAGCAACAUUGGGGUUGGUGUUGGUGAGGUUCUGCUUGUGGCUAGAGAUAGUUAUGAUGGAGUUGGAGGUCCCUCACAGCUCUAGGGGAGAGAGAGACUCAUCCUCUUUGCCAUCCAAGAGGAGGAGAAGGUGUAACAGGGCUUGGAACCUCAAAGCCAGACAGUGGGAUCUUUUGUGUUAAUGGACGUGGG
ensembl:lncRNA